UACGUAGGGGGCAAGCGUUUGUCCGGAUUUAUUGGGCGUAAAGAGCGUGUAGGCGGCCAAGCAGGUCCGCUGUGAAAACUCGAGGCUCAACCUCGAGAGGUCGGUGGAAACCGUUUGGCUAGAGUCCGGAAGAGGAGAGUGGAAUUCCCGGUGUAGCGGUGAAAUGCGCAGAUAUCAGGAGGAACACCGAUGGCGAAAGGCAGGUCUCUGGGCCAUAACUGACGCUGAGAAGCGAAAAGCAUGGGGGAGCGAACAGG
rnacentral:rRNA from 1 species